GUAAGAUCUGUGCCUUCCGAAGAGGGUAGAGUCUUCUGGAGGGACAUUACAAAUAAUCAGGCACUCCCAGUGCUGGGAGCUAAGUUCUGUUACAGGGAAGAGAAAGAAACAAUGGGAAUACCAAGGAGGAUAUUUACAGAGGGGGAAGGCUUUGAGCUGAAAUUGAACGGUGAAUAAAGGCUGAGCAGCCAUGGUGAGAUGGGGGGAGACUCUUCUGAAUGGUGUGGUGGCGGAAGUGGGGGUGGGGGGGAUGCAACAGUCUUGUUGGACUGGAACAUAGAGUUCAAAUGGCGGAAUUUCAGAGCUUUGACGCUCUACUAUUAAGAAGGUCCAGCAAGUUCUGCCGUGAACAGUUGUGCUCAUAGCUAGCUGUGUGAUCUUGAACAAGUUUCUUUGUCUCCAAAACCUAGUUUUGUUACAGGUAGAUAGGCAAGAGUGGGCUCUCCCCCGACGCACUAGAAAUGUCGGAUGACAGUUCCACAGUUAUCGCAUUGCCUCUCUAAAAAUCAUAAUUCAGCAGCCAGGGAGAGACAAUCUCCUGAUGGUCCAUAACCUUGACAUUAAAAGUGUUAACUGAAUACAGAUCCCAGGGAGAAGCAGAUUCUUGGGCAUGUGUGUUAAGAGAUAAAAUGGCAAAGUAUGACUUUCCGGGGUACACGCCACAGGAAAAAGGAAAAAGUCUCAGGUGGGCAUGCGUGUAACUCCCUAAACGCACUGCGCGUGCUCAAUUCCAAAGGCUAAGGAAAGCAUUGCGCAUGCGGGAAACCCACGCUGAGGGAAGAAUCAUGGGAAAGAGUAGAGACGGGGUUCCACCGUGUUAGCCAGGAUGGUCUCGAUUUCCUGACCUCGUCAUCCUCCCGCCUUGGCCUCCCAAAGUGCUGGGAUUACAGGCUUGAGCCACCGCGCCCCGCUCUUUCGUGUUCCAAAGGCUUUUUAAAUAAACUUCCACUCCUGUCCUGGAUUCUGCUUUAUGGCCCUCAGUCGAAUUCUUUCUUCUGAGGAGGCAAGGACUGAAGUUGCUUCUGACCAGUACAGGAGAAAACGAAUACAGCAGGGAUGACUUCCACCAGCUCCACUUUGCAGCUCUGAGGUGUAUUAAAAAUGACCUGGAAGAAGUCAUGCCACGGGCCAGACCUUAACAUUCCUUUCGGCUUACCCCAGGAUUUCAGACAAAGCUUCACUUUCCUAACCAGUCACAAAUCAGAGAAUUUUUGAUUCCACCUAUGACCUGUGAGCUCCUGCUUCAAGAUAUUCCACCUUUUUUAGGCCAAACCAAUGUAUAACCUCCAAGUGUCGAUUUACACUUUCGACUGUAACUUCUGCUUUCCUGAGAUUUACCCCUGCCUUUAAAAACCCUUGCUUGUAAUCCCUCAGGGAGGCCGUGUAUUUAUUAAUCAUGAGCUGCCCAAUUCUCCUUGCUUGGUGCCCUGCAAAUAAACACCCUCUUUUCUCCCACUGCAAAACCUCAGUGUGGAUGUUUGGCUUUACUUCACCCCCAGGAAAGCAGACCCAGGUUUGACUCAGCAACAACAUCUGUUUCUAUUUUUCUCUGUAUAAAUAUUAAAAACCAUAAGUACAUGCUAUCUCCAAUUCCAAUAUAAACCCAUA
rnacentral:lncRNA from 10 species